rnacentral:rRNA from 1 species
UACGUAGGUGGCAAGCGUUGUCCGGAUUUACUGGGCGUAAAGAGCGCGCAGGCGGUCGUUCAAGUCGCGUGUGAAAGCCCCCGGCUCAACUGGGGAGGGUCACGCGAUACUGCUCGACUCGAAGGCAGGAGAGGGAAGUGGAAUUCCCGGUGUAGUGGUGAAAUGCGUAGAUAUCGGGAGGAACACCAGUGGCGAAGGCGGUUCUCUGGGACGGUACUGGACGCUGAGACGCGAAAGCGUGGGGAGCGAAC